CUGGACCAGAACAAAUGGAUACAGAGAAUUCUAAUGCCAAACCUGGAAUAACAAAUGAAAUGUUCCUUUGGGAAUGUCUGACAGAGGAGCAGGAAGUAUAAGGAUUUUUAAAAUUGUUUGUGUUUUGUUUUGUUUUUUUAAUAGUCAGGGACAAGUUUCAACCAGGAUAUGAAAAUGAACUGGAAGCAAACAACUUCAAAGGCAGAAUUGAGACUCUCCUUAGAAAUCUUGUGUAAUCCACUGUCUUGUGUAAUAUUAAGAGGCCUUCAAAAUAAGGACAGAAAUGCCAACUCUUCUAAGUUUGCCAGGAAAGGAGAAGUCUGAAUUUCCCCUUCUACUGAAGAAUGAGGAGCACCCUCCCCCUGCCACCUCCCCCCGCUCCCAGGGCGGGGGGCUCUACCAUCUUCUGCACCAGUACCAGGAAAGGCAGGUGAUGGGUUGGCCACCUCCAAGACAAUAAUGACUUAAUUAUGAUGUGUGACUCGGGCUUAGGGAACCUGCUGGCCAGGCAGCUGGACCUGCGAGGCUUGAGGGUGCUGGCCGCGUGUCUGACGGAGGAGGGAGCCCAGCAGCUGAGAGGCCAGACGUCAGACAGGCUGGAGAUGGUGAUCCUGGACGUCACCAAGACAGAAAGCAUCUCUGUGGCUGCCCAGUGGGUGAAGGAGUGUGUGAGGAAGGAGAAAAGAACAAUGAUCUGGAUCCAAGACAACAUCUAAUUCUACUUAGUCAUACUCUAUGGUCCCGUCCAGAUCCAAGAGAUUAAACGUCAGAAGAGAAGCUCACAGACUGGAAUUUGGUCAUUCAGGGCAAGGAGGGGAAGGAAGUAUGCUCCAGGAAAUCUCCUAGAGCUGGAAGAAUGCAUCUAUUAGCUCUAUACCAUUUAGGAAUAAAGGAUAAUAGCUACAGAUUGAGUGAUUUGACCUUAGAUGAGCAAGGCCGACUCCAGUGAGCUAAUGGCUAGUAAGAUUCACCAGUUCUCUGGGAUAAGGGAGACUGUCAGGUUUGCAGGACAAGUUAAUGCCAUGGGGAACAGAAUUCAUAAGAGUCAACCGGCCGAGAUGAAUUACUGCUAACCAUUGCUGCAGUAGAGAGUAAAGCACUUGCGUAGAAUCGGUCUGGAAAAUGCAAGCAGGGAGAGUGUGUGGCUGGAAGUCUCACUGGGAAGCUACGUAGGGACAUGGCCAGUGCCCAAUCCUGCUGCAUCUGCUGGAAGAGUCCUGGGCUGAGCUCUGCAAGAGGGGCUUUUCCUUGCGCAGGCAGAGAUUCCGUGAACAGAAAGAGAACCAUGUCAUGUGCAGAAGAGUGCCGAGGCUGGUUCAGUCAAAACCGCGAUGCCAGGGUGCAGCCGAGUAGCUGAUCAAAGGACAGCAACAGCGGCAGCUUGUGUGCAAGGAAUGGCAGAGGCAUGCUGGACCAGGUGUGAGGAGAUGGAGGAGAGCGGCACAGAACAAAGACCAGGAGUGGUUUCCCUUGAUUCCUGUGAACUCAGCGGUAGCUACUUUAAAGAGCUACCUGAGGUCAGAUCACCGGCUGAUGGGGAUUUCCACUGGACAAGUUCCAGAGAAGAAGGGAAUGCUUUCUGCAGACAGGGUCUCUAACUGGGAAAAUGGAAGUUUGGUCAACAAUAGCAUUAUAUGAGUGGCAUAAUCACUGUGAACUAGCACCUGAAGCUUACCGAAGCUAUUUUUCAGAGACAAACCUGUUCAAAAUGGAAUCCUUUUCUCUCUUGGAAAAUGGAAAAUGAGUUGAGUCCUCACUCUAACAAGGCAGAGCAUAGGGGUGAAGGGGCGCUUUCUUCCAGGGAAGGAUACUGUACUUGUCACCCAAGGAUGGAUGCAGUCAGCGCUAGGACUGUGUGUUAAGGCGAGAAGGCGAGAAUGUCUUCAUUUGUACAAAGGAAGUUGCUGCUUGUCAUCCAAGGCAUAAAGCUGUUUUGUUCUUUUAUGGAAGCUCAAAAUACAUAGAAGGAUUGAGUGGAUGCUGAGUUGCCAAAGGGAUGGAUUGCACUGGUUAUGAGCUAUUUUCUCUAAGCUUCCACCCUUCUGUGCUCCACUUUACGCUGCUCUGCCUGGAACCCUGCAAACCAGAUUUCUCUUCUGCCCGCUCUCCCUGUUUGGGUCUCCUACUAGAGGCUCUACAGGGUGGCUUGAAGGCUGGAGGGCUGAGGGAUUUAUUCCCUCUGGUUUGCUUUCUGCAACAGUCAUUAGCUGAAAAAUAGCUUCGGUAAGCUUCGGGUGCUAGUUCACUGUGAUUCUUCCACUUGUAUAAUGCUAUGUUGACCAAACUUCCGUUUUCCCAGUUAGAGACCCUGUCCGGUGGAAAUCCCCAUCAGCUGAUGAUGUCAGUGUCAGCCUAGCAACCGUUCUUCACUGGGCCAGCAACCCCUGACUUCAGCAGCAAUCCUGGACUGCAGGUUGUAGUUCUUCCCUCCACUCCGUAAACAAGCCUGAUGAUGUCCCUCAGAGAUACCACCGCCAGCAAGUUGGCACCUUCUCCCGAGAGGUCCGGAUCCCUGUGCUGCAGAGACCUCCUCAGAGCUCUGACAGGGCACAAUCACCAGUCAGCCAGUGCCGCAUCCGCCAGGGUCUGAGUUCCAGCUCCUCGCGAGUCUCUCCUUGGAGCACGAAGCUCCACAUUUUCCCAACAUCCUUUCUUUCCAGCCCUGGGAGAGGCAUUUGCUUCCUGCAGUUACCCCUUCAGAAAAUUUCAGUGUUCCUUUUCAUAUUUUACAUCUCUCAAUCACUGGUUAACAAUCCCAUGUGUUAAAUUCUCUCUCUUAAAAUAACUGCAGUCGCAUGGAGCACUGGGUGUUAUGAACAAACAAUGAAUCAUGGAACACUACACCAAAACAAAUUAUGUAAUAUAUGGU